rnacentral:lncRNA from 1 species
UUUCUUCUGAGCGCACAGAAGACCACCCUGCCUAGCUUCUUUGCAGCUAUGUGGAGACACAUGAUUAGUCUGGCCAAUGGGAUGUGAGAAGAGAUAAUGAAACUCAGAGGAGAACUUGUGAGAUUUAUGCAAGUUAUUUAAUCACUCCAUGCCUCAGUUUCCCCAUGUAUAAAUGAUGAUAAUAAUAUUUAUCUUAUAGGAUUGUGGUGAGGAUUUAAUUAGCUAUGAUAGGUGAGAUGCUUAGAAGGUGCUUAUAAAAGCGUAGCUAUGAUUAUUGUUUUAAAAUGAUGUUAUUAGAGAAAGAAAAAUACAUAUGCAUAACAAUUGUCAAUAGAAAGAUCACAUAACAGUGCAAAGAGGCUUACAAAAUUCUCCAGGAUGUAUAUGUAUCUACACAAACAUCAUAGAGAAGCAAAAAAAAAAAACGAACAAACAAAACAGAUGCCAAAUUAAGGGGGAGCCUGGAGGUAAGCCCACUUUUCUGGCAUUUGGAGAUUCUGUCUUGAAUGACCCUCCACUUCUGGAUGGCUGGCCCCUCCUAGUGUGCUCCAGCCAGAUCCAUAUACAUCCUAAAACAAGUGUGUUUUGCUCCCAAGUCACAUUGCAUAUUCCAGCAGAAAAGCAGCUCUAUUUAUUCUUUAGGCAAUUCUUUGGUCUCUUAUCACUUUGGAUUUCAGGCCUCUGAAGACAUACCCAUUCCUUUUCUUCUGAGCCCGCAGAAGACAACCCUGCCUAGCUUCUUUGCAGCUACGUGGAGACAUGUGACUAGUUUGGCCAAUGGGAUGUGAGAAGAGAUGAUGAAACUCGGAGGAGAACUUGUGAGAUCGCCGUGACUGCUUUUCCCCUGCCACAGUGGCUAAGAGGAUAAGGCUAUCAAGGGUGGAGCCUCUCUAGGCCUGGGUUCCUGGGUGCCUGUGUGGAGCCGAGACCCCAGGCUAACUCACAAUGAACACGCCGUGUGAGGAAGACGUAAAGCUUUAUGUAUUAAGCCACUGGAGCUUAGGGUUUAAUUUGUUACUGUGGUGUAGCCUACCCUAUUCUAACCAAUACAAGGAUCUUUGGAUGACUCUCCUCCAGGAAUUCAUAUACAAAAACAUCCUCCCUGCAUGAGAACUCCCUAUAUGGUUCCAGCAGUAUCUCUCACCUGCAAUAGUGACUAAAGUCAAGACUCUCUGCUGGCUAUUUCGUUUCUACUGAACUAGAAUAUAAAUUUGAGCAGGACAUGGACCUUUUCAAUCUUGCCUACCCUCAUAUCCCAGUAACAAGUGGCUAGCAGAGUACCUGACACAUCAUGGAUGCUCAAAAAAUAUUUCUUGACUAACUGGAUGAAUAAAUGAGUGAAUCAUCAUCAGGAUUGCUGCUCGUGAACCCCUCCUCUUGCAGCUACCUGCCUUUGAAUUUGCCCUCAGGCUUCCUAGCUAGUUUCUUCUUUAGCCUUUCUGACCCAUCGUUCCUUCCGUAGAGUUCAAGACAACACUGCUCCUCCUAUGAACCAAAAGAAAGUGCCAGCGGCUGUUGGUGACGAAGCUCUUCUUUUCUAGGCAAUAAAGCCCCCUCCAGUUGUAGCAGUUUUCUCUGGAAUGGAAUUCUCCAACUCAUGACUCUCCAACUUAUGAUGGGAAACAGAGCCCACCUCCCACUCAAGAAAAAAACAAUGCUUGCAGCACUAUUCUCAAUUGCAAAGACAUGGAAUCAACCCAAAUGCCCAUCAGUGAUAGACUGGAUAAAGAAAAUGUGGUACAUAUACACCAUGGAAUAAUAUGCAGUCAUAAAAAGGAGGAAUGGGAUCACGUCCUUUACAGGGACAUGGAUGAAGCUGGAAGCCAUUAUCCUCAGCAAACUAAUGCAGGAACAGAAAACCAAACAUCACACGUUCUCACUUAUAAGUCGGAGCUGAACAAUGAGAACACAUGGACACAGGGAGGAGAUCAACACACUCUGGGGUCUGUUGGGGGACGGGAAGAAAGCAUCAGGAAAGAUAGCUAAUGCAUGCUAUGCUUAUUACCUAGGUGAUGGGUUGAUAGGUGCAGCAAACCACCAUGGCACACGUUUACCUAUGUAACAAACCUGUGUGUCCUGCACAUGUACCCCAGAACUUAAAAUAAAAAAAAAAAGGCAAGGCUGAGUACUCCCUUUCCCAGGCUCCCUUGCAGCUAGGAUGUGGGUGUGUGAGCAGGAGGGUGUGCAAGGCUGGCAGCUCUCCCCAACAGUCAGGGUUUGAGUUUGGGGGUGGGGCAGUGCUG